ACACUCACUCUCGCUUUCUCAACCCUCUCUUUCUCACAACUCUUGAUCUGCCUCUUCUCUCUUCCUCUGGACUUUCAUCAAAGAAUUUACCAGUUCAAAUGGCAAGAAAAAAAAGCUAAGAAAACUGUAAAACAAGUUGCUGUGUCACUAGAGACCAAUUCUUUGAAAGGCAAGGCGUUUAUGUGAGGCGCUUAGUCACGUUAUGCGAGGUGUAAGCCUUGAAGCAGUGAGAUGCUUCUUGCCUUUCAUGGAGGAUAUGAAUGUCUCCAAUAACUACUUCUAUGUUCCAAAGGUCUCGUCAACCAAACAACUAACACUCUCCCGGUGGUUGUUUGAACCAACAAAUAACACUAGAGGCUUGUCAUACAUAUUGGUUUUGUAUGUGUUGUCUAAUAUGAGGACGUCUUCAAAGGCAACAUAAUCCAAAAGUGAAGUAGAGUAUCUCCAAAACAAGCGAGUCGAACUUCAGUGUUGCCGUCUAAUAAUAUUUCCCUACGUGAUGCAUCCAACUUCUUCCUUAAGGAUCCAAGUCCUCAGCUCAUGUAUUGAUGGAGGCUUAAAUCCUACACCAUAUGUGGCAAUCCCUUCCACCAUAGGUAGCCAAAAUGGAUCAUUUACAAUAUUAAAUGGGAGUGCUCUAGAAAAGAAAAAACGACCAAUCUUUCAACAAACUUUCUUUCUUUUUCUUGUUUGUAUGCUGAAUUUAAUGUACUUUGCCGAGUUUCUAAAGUGAUAAAUCUAUCCAUUGGUCCUUUUGAUUUAGGUUGUGCUCUAAGAGCCCCAUCAACUGCAACAUUUCUAGUACUGGGGAUUCCGUAUUCUUUAUCCAAUGAAGUUUCCAUACUUUGACCUCUCCUCGUGGACCAUCCUCAAUUUCUCUAAGCAUUUCAUUUUUCUUUCAUUUUUUCAAGUUGAAAAUUUUUCAAAGUUGCGGCACACUCUUGGUUUACAUGCUCAGGAACUUUCUUACAUGGUUGCAUACCAUGAUGAGUUUGACCCAAAUGAUGCUUAAGUC